CUACGGGAGGCUGCAGUGGGGAAUUUUGGACAAUGGGGGCAACCCUGAUCCAGCAAUGCCGCGUGAGUGAAGAAGGCCUUCGGGUUGUAAAGCUCUUUUGUCAGGGAAGAAACAGCAGCUCUAACACAGUCUGCGAAUGACGGUACCUGAAGAAUAAGCACCGGCUAACUACGUGCCAGCAGCCGCGGUAAUACGUAGGGUGCAAGCGUUAAUCGGAAUUACUGGGCGUAAAGCGUGCGCAGGCGGUUAUGUAAGACAGGCGUGAAAUCCCCGGGCUUAACCUGGGAAUUGCGCUUGUGACUGCAUAGCUAGAGUAUGUCAGAGGGGGGUAGAAUUCCACGUGUAGCAGUGAAAUGCGUAGAGAUGUGGAGGAAUACCAAUGGCGAAGGCAGCCCCCUGGGAUAAUACUGACGCUCAUGCACGAAAGCGUGGGGAGCAAACAGGAUUAGAUACCCGAGUAGUC
rnacentral:rRNA from 1 species